CAGAGAUGGAUUGGUGCCUUCGGGAACUCUGACACAGGUGCUGCAUGGCUGUCGUCAGCUCSUGUMGUGAGAUGUUGGGUUAAGUCCCGUAACGAGCGCAACCCUUGUCCUUAGUUACCAGCACGUUAUGGUGGGCACUCUAAGGAGACUGCCGGUGACAAACCGGAGGAAGGUGGGGAUGACGUCAAGUCAUCAUGGCCCUUACGGCCUGGGCUACACACGUGCUACAAUGGUCGGUACAGAGGGUUGCCAAGCCGCGAGGUGGAGCUAAUCUCACAAAACCGAUCGUAGUCCGGAUCGCAGUCUGCAACUCGACUGCGUGAAGUCGGAAUCGCUAGUAAUCGCGAAUCAGAAUGUCGCGGUGAAUACGUUCCCGGGUCUUGUACACAC
rnacentral:rRNA from 1 species